AUGAACUCAAAAGCAAGCAGACGGGGAAAAGGCAGGCAGUGCAAGCCUCCUGUGCACAACGCAGGUGAAGGAAAUGCGGCAAAGUGCCACAGGUGGCAAGGCUGGCUCUCUUUCUGGGGGAGGAUCCAGAGCCAGGAGCCGCUUCCCGGGAGCCCAAGGCGGAUGGACGGCUUUGGAAAGGGAUAUAAACCUGCCCAGGUUCGAGGAAAGAGCAGAGAUGGGUUGGUAGAACAACCAGUUCGAACAGUACUUUCCAGCUGUCCAAGCCGGUGGAGAUCUGCUGAAAGAAGCACUUCUUUCCAUUACAACCCCUACGAUUCCUCUGCCUACAAUUCCUAUGGAGAGCACAACGAGGAAAGGACACGGAGGCAGAAUCCCUCCAUUCAUAUACCCAUGAACUCAAGGCGGAUUCCGGAUUCCAGUAGCGAGUACGGAUUAAGAGAUUCUUCAUUUGGAACGCCCAGUUCAAAUCCAUAUGGAAAUGCACAUGUCAAUCCUUCAUUUGACUACGAGGCGGAAUUUGCACAGACUUUACCUACGGACAGUCAUGCUCCGAAUCACCAUUAUACUCGGAAAACCUUCUGCUCCAUCCAACGGAGAAGAAAAAUUAAUUGGUGA
rnacentral:lncRNA from 1 species